UGUCCGAUGGUGUAACGGCAGCACUGCAGAUUUUGAUUCUGCCUGUCAAGGUUCGAAUCCUUGUCGGACAACGA
rnacentral:tRNA from 5 species